CGCCGAAGGUGGGGCUGAUGACUGGGGUGAAGUCGUAACAAGGUAGCCGUACCGGAAGGUGCGGCUGGAUCACCUCCUAACAGGGAGACAAACAUUGAUCAUGAUGUCUGAGUUAUUUAUCCUCAGGCCUUGAUCCUGUCACCUUGGCACACUCAGGCCAUGAGGUCAUAUUUGAGUGAAUAAGAUUUUCUAAUUCAUUCUGCUGAUUUCAGUUCCUAAACUUGUCUAGGUCACACCCAAGCAAGGGUACUCCUGGGCCAUUAGCUCAGGUGGUUAGAGCGCACCCCUGAUAAGGGUGAGGUCCCUGGUUCAAGUCCAGGAUGGCCCAUUCGGUUUUGGGGGUAUAGCUCAGUUGGUAGAGCGCCUGCUUUGCAAGCAGGAUGUCAGCGGUUCGAGUCCGCUUACCUCCACUGAUCUAAUCCUCUAACCGUACUAUCUAUUGGAGAUUUCUUGUUUGAUGUGAUCUGGAAUUUUGUCCGCUGAACGACCCUAGCUUCCUCUCAUUCCAAAUCUAAAUUUAGUUUAGGUUGAUAGGACGCUAGGCUCACUGCUGAUCUUUACAGAUUGGCGGAGAUGUUUAGCAGAACCUUGACAACUGCAUAGGUGAGUCUGGAAAGAAUAAAGCAUCUCAUUGAUGCAAUUUUAUUGAAGCUAUCUUGAUAGUUUCAUAUCUAAAAUUGCUCAAUUCUAGAUUGAGAGCCAAGACUCUAUAUCGUUCUUAAAUGAUUUUUAA
rnacentral:misc_RNA from 1 species